AGGAGAGAUGACUCGAUAUCUUCAUCUGAGAUCCACCUUCAUCCUCAUGAGAGACACCACCAAGUACAUGUGUACAUGUAUUUGGUUGACAGCCUUUGUUGGUGCCAUAGUUUCUGGUGUGUACUACCUACAGUACAUGUAUAUGUACCUGUGGUUCUGACUCGGUGCUGCUCAUACUCAAAGCAACCGGGUAUGGAUCCUGGACAGGCAUUCCUCAAAGUGUUAAGGAUGACGUUUCAAGUAGUGCCGUCUUCGCUAAGAAUGGAGAAGUCCAUUACUUACCUGCAUAAUGGGGAAAUUUUGCUGGUUGUAUAGAGAGAGGUUAUCGUAGCAAUGAGAUUGUACUGUAAGAGUGACCAUCAGAGGCUCAUCUAAAACAUCGCAGUGAACAUCGCAGUCCAUGGAUAGUGUGUUCCUAAAGAUGUGUUGUAGCACACACUUGUUGAGCAGUCUUUCAUGGAUGCAAGUUGGACCUCACCUGCUGCAGUUUGAAUCUAGUUAUCUGGAGAAUACAUGGAGACUUGCACUGGGUUUUCCUCUGCAGUGGACUUUUAUCUUAAGACCGUCCUUUCACUGCACUCUUUGAGGAACUUCCUACCGGUACCUGUAGCCUUUCAGUGCUGCUAAUGUUAAAAACCUGCCAUGGACAGUAUUACCUGAAAGGACAUUGGUUUUAAAGAAAAAUGGAGUGUGCAUGACCAGUGGUGUAGAGUUAGAACUGAUUUCUAACUGUUCCAAUCACAGCUCAAUCACAAAGCUUAAAAUUGCUCUAUUGGGUGACCAAAUUUUGAUGCAGUACUUGACAAUCAAUGCCCAUGUCAUCUUUGGGAAGUACAUGUAGACAAAUUUAUCUGCGUAAGAAGUAGGCUCUAGCACAGUCAAAAUCAAUCAUCAGAUUUUCUCAAUUCAUUUUUUUUUUAUUUUGAGUUUCCUCAGUUUGUUUUGUGUAAAGAAUGGACAAAUUUUCAAGGCAAAACAAAUAAAGCCAUUAGGAUCUACACCACUGGGACAGAACUAUGUUUUGUGAAAAACAGACUCCAUAAAAAGCCAAUAAUUUAAUCGAACAUUCCUUAGUUUUUUUAUUUUCCAGGAUUACAUUCAUGGCCAGCCCCUCACAACAGUCACUCAAAAAAAAAUUGCAAAAUGUUAUAAACUAAAUUCUGAAACUGUAAAAGAAUGUGAGGGACACAUGUGGUCCAAACCAUUUGAGAAACAUGUUCAGGUUAUCAAAUUUGGACAGUAUUUUUCAUAUUUCUAUUCUUGCCAAAAGAAACAGUACAUGUAUCUUAUGCAAACAAUUUUUGAGCCAAAUAUUACGUGUGUACAUUUUGUGAGGGCUGGUUCCCAUAUAAGAAAUUUCUUUUAAAACUAUUGUCAAAUGCCUGAAUGGUAAAACCUUCCCACGCUGCGUGUAGGAUGGGUUAAUAUUACUACAGCCUUCAAUCCACUAUUUCCUAAAAUACCUGUAAAGCUCAUCUUGAUAGCUUGGUGUUUCUUUCAUCAGUUGAAUGUGAGACUUGUCUCCAUUCAGAUGAAGUGCUCAUCGCAGUAUGUAGACUCAUGAAUCAUGGUCUUGGAGAAAACAUAUUGAUCUGUUAAGAUUGCUUGUGAAGACAAGAAGAACCCAAAUCACUGUUCUUAUCCAAACCUUGCAUCUUUGCAAAACAUUUUUUCCUACACGAAAAUGCUGUAACCACAAACCCCAGCUUACGUGUUUUGUUUAAUUCUAAAUGAGCAAAAUAAUUGUAGCAAUUCUAACUAUUUGCAGUUGUUUUCCAAGUAUUUGCCCAAUCAAGAAACACAUAUGCACCUUAAUUCUUAACUGAAUCAGAGGUAAACAUGUACAUGUAUGACCCAUCUUACACAUAGCACCUCGAGUAUUAUCAGCACUGAUUGAAGCCUCCUAAAUUCAAACAAUGAAGACGCUAUAUGAGUUGUUGGAAGAGACUGCUAUAACUCAUGUGUAUUCAAACUUCAGUUUCUUUCAAAGUAAAAACCAAGGUAUUAAGUUUGUCAAAAAGUAGGCUGCAGUGCCUACGCAUUCUUUGGAAAGGAGCCAUAUAAACUUUGUGUUUUUUUGUUGUACGUCAUUUCAAGUUAAAAUGCAUCCAAAGAGGCAACACAAAGAUUAAUGUAGUUUUUCCAAAAAAGUAGCGCAGCAGGUAUCCUAUGUAAUUGAAGUGCUGAUUAUACUCUAAGCUCUUGUUUGGAACAUUCACACUAAUGUGUACAUUGUUGUGUUUUACCUCCAGGCAAACCAAAUCAAAACCUCUUAGCCCAGUUGCAUGCAGGCCUUCCUGGUGUGUGCACGUGUGUUCCCUGCCCACAGACGCUGACAGGUUGGUGGUUGCCCGCUAUCUGCAUCGGUUUGUGAAUCAGCUGUUGGUGAUGUAUACAACCUCCUGAAAUCUUGCAAGUCUGGGUGAUAGUGGAUAUCUCGUUGACUGUAACACGGUAAGGAUCCUCUUAACUUUGGCAAUUGGUCAUUUUGUCUGUCAAGCAGAUGUACUUAACCACUGCUCCAGAGAUGGCAACCCAAGAGAACACUUAUGCAUCUACUCUGCCAUUGCUCACUUGACAUUUCAAGAGUUCAAUACAUCUUUGUCUUUGAUCUGAGAAGAUGGGAGAUGUACAAAAUGGUCAAUUUUUGUGGGCUUUCUCAGAUAUUCAGCAGUGUCUUAGGAUGUUAGGCCAGUUGUUAUAACCCAUGUUCAUGGUGGAUAGCUUCCAUCAUUUAAAUCUAACAUCUUUACUAUUAUUGUAUUCACAUGUUCCAAUGUCACUUGUCAAGCAGUGUGCAGUCAUGAAGUUCUGUUUAAACAUACCUGUUGAGUUCCAAGAAAACGUCUUAAAGUGGACGAAAUACAUUGCAAAAUAUCAGUCAAUCAAGCAACGGAUGCAUGCAUAAGGAAAGAAGUUGAGCUUAAAAUUCCAUGGCAAAUGAUGUUUUUUUUAAAGCAAAUAUUCUGUGAUUACAACUUGUAGUUCUGUGUGCCAAAUAUUUUAAUGUGGCUCCCAAUUUUUUCCAUCAAGAGUGUAAGCUUUUUGGAAGCACACUGAUUAUCUCAAAUAAACAGAUUGUAGUCCUUUGUGCAAAAUGCUGUGUGUGGAUCAUUUUCUCCAAAGUCCAAAACUCCAAAACUAGGAUCCUUAUUCGAAAGCAUUUUAUAAAAGCUGUUUUCUCAAAGCAUUAAUUUAAACUGAAAGAUUUCAAAUUUGUUGUGGUAGUGCCAUCAAAUAUUUUCCAAUUCAUGUGUAAAUUGCAGAAGCAAAAGGUAAAUGUCACAAAUAAAAAAAUCAGAGGAAAAAAAAGAGAAGCGGAACUCAUGAAACUGCUGUGGAGAUUACUGGUGUGCUUCACAUACCACCCUGUUAGAAUGCUUGGUGGACGAUGUAUUCAGGACCAUUCACUCGAAUUACACAGGAAACACACAUAUUCCUGAAUCUGGUCAUGUGUUGACUGGAGAUUUCAUCGGAGAGGACCAUUCAAAUGCAAUGCCACUCUAUACAGCAAAUUCUGCUGUCCCUUCAUGUCACAUUACUGACCCUGAAACUUGUAGCAGCUGGCAUUAGUUGGACACAAUUUGAGGUCUGGCAAGAUUUCCUUUGACAGUUUUCCUAUAGUGACAAUAUUACAUGGAACUGGAAAACUUGCACACCCUAGAAGGCUCUUUGCUGAGCUUAGGGACUGUGGUUUCUCCUGAAGAAAACUCAACCUCUGCUGUUAUUUCCAACUCCAAAGGGAGAAUAGUAAAGUACCAAGGGAGGUUAAGGAGGUUGGGGGGGGGGCAAAUCGGGAAUAGAGUGUGUGUUCCCCUUUCAUCAGGAGUGAAUGGCUUGGGAGAUUGGGUACCAAUUUGCUUCUCAGUAUCCUAAAACAGAAACUGUGGCAUCAACACGGGGAGCCUGUCCCAGCCACAAGGUCCAUGGUAAGUUUAAUUGAAGUUUGUAAAACUAAUUCAUGCACUGGUGUAUUAAAACAAAAAUGGUUGUACAUCCUGGUGUCUUACUUGCUAAACCCAACUGUGCAUCUCAUGGCUAGGAGUAGGACUAUAGUCUGUAUGAACAAGGUGGUAAUGCGUACAAUGUAGAUGGUCUUCAGUCUAAGGUAAUAUGCAGUGGCGUAGCAACUGGAGAGGGAUGCAGUAUAACUUAAGUCAUAGUUGCUGAGUGACCAGUUUAUCAAGAGUAGGCUUGCAACCUGGACAAAUAUUGAGCAAAUAGGCCAACUCUAGUAUACUUAAUGAUUGGAUGGCCAUAUUCACGUAAAACAACUACAAAUAUGAUUGUCUCCUACUCACUCACAUUUUCCUAUUUGAAAAAAAAAACAGCAGCAAAAGAGGUUGAGGCUGUUCAUGCAUAGCUUUGUGAUACAUUCAAGCUGUUGAGAUUGAGCCUCGUUCUUACUUAUCCUGGUGUGACAGUGUCAAACAAAGCUUGGUUGAGCCUGACAGCCAUUAAUUGCAGAGUUGCAGUUUGUAAUCUGUGAGUUUUCCCAUUUGUCAUCUGUCACAGGGAGAAAGACAUACCCUAGUCAGAUAAAGCAGAUUUCUGCUGGAAUUUUCAGAUGUUUAUGCGUUUAAAUGCCCAGCAUUGACUCCUAAUUGUCCACCAGUGGUUGUUGAAUCACUUAUGGAGUAGCAUCUCAGGAAGAGGGUGUGGCAAGCACCCUUCCUGUACAAGAGACACAUGGGCAACCUGUAUGCCCAGGAAUUAAGAAAGUACAUGUACAGUAUCUUGCAUGUCAUCUGGAGACAUUUCAUUUCUCCUCUGUAGAGAGAUCAGAAGCCAAUGGCCAGAUCUCUGGAUUCAUGAAACUUAUGAAGAAUAUUGCCGUCUGCUACAUUUGUAGACUUGACCGUCCAACACCCCUCCUCCAAGUUACGCCACUAGCAAUGCCAAAAGUAAAAUCUGACUCCAAAAUACCCUCUUGAUGUUGUAAUUGAACAAUCUUGAUCAAGGUUAUGACAAGUGUUUUUCUCUUUGCAAGAUUUGUAUUAUUCUUUGAUAAAUUGAAUAUUGGAAUAUUCUUUGAAUCAAGGACCUCAUAUUUUGGCUACAGAUAAGCUUAUGGUAAACCUAGAAGUUUGGAAGAUCAAUGGUUGAAUAGUUGACCAUCCACUGUUCCUAAUGCGAUGUUAAGCGCAUAGUGUCUAAACUCACUGCAUCACACUUUGCGUAAUAUUCCAAACCUUUUCCAUCAGAUAAAUUUACAGAUAAAAGCAAACCACUUGAGACAUCAACUGAAGAGAUAAUGGCUUAUGAACUGCUGUCAUUCUGUGAACAUUCUAGUCCUAGCUGUGUUCCUCUGAUGGAUACCACUGCACCCAAUGUACCAUUCUCAGACUGGUAGAAGACUUGAACCCAAAGCUACAUUGUACAUGUAUGCCUACACUGUACAUGUACAUCAGACAUGUAUGGGUGUCAUUGUUGAAGUAGUUCAGCCAGAGUCCAUAUAAGGUCUAUCUUCUAGUAUCCCUUUGUGAUGUUGUCAAGUUUUUAUCAGUGCCUUGAUCAAGACCAUUUGAUUCAAAGAGAAAUGCAUCAAUCAAAUCAUGAAAU